rnacentral:rRNA from 1 species
UACGGAGGGUGCGAACGUUAAUCGGAAUUACUGGGCGUAAAGCGCGCGUAGGCGGCUUGUUAAGUCAGAUGUGAAAGCCCCGGGCUCAACCUGGGAAUUGCAUUUGAAACUGGCAAGCUAGAGUGCAGUAGAGGGAGGUGGAAUUCCAGGUGUAGCGGUGAAAUGCGUUGAUAUCUGGAGGAACACCAGUGGCGAAGGCGGCCUCCUGGACUGACACUGACGCUGAGGUGCGAAAGCGUGGGGAGCAAACAGG